UUGGGAAAACUGAGACAAUUUUUCUUGCCAUCUUUCCUAGUUUCGGCUUAAACACAACUCCUGAGAAAAAGGCUUUCUUUCGAAUCAGAACACGUUUAAAAUGAUUAGUUAACUGGAGUAGUGUGAAAAUUGUAUAUUUGUCUACUAGUAAGGUAUUGGAAUUGUGUUGUAGUUUGUUCAAAACACCUCAAGAAUACAGCUUUUUUUUUUAUAGAACUUUUGUUCACUUAAGAAAACUAAAUAAUAAAUCAAAA